rnacentral:misc_RNA from 1 species
GAUGAAGAACGUAGCGAAAUGCGAUACGUAAUGUGAAUUGCAGAAUUCAGUGAAUCAUCGAAUCUUUGAACGCAUAUUGCGCUCUCUGGUAUUCCGGAGAGCAUGCUUGUUUGAGUAUCAGUAAACACCUCAACUUCCAUAUCUUUUUUGAAAUGGGAGUUGGACUUGAGUGAUCCCAACGCUUUUCCUCACCGAAAAGUGGCGGGUUACUUGAAAUGCAGGUGCAGCUGGACUUUUCUCUGAGCUAUAAGCAUAUCUAUUUAGUCUGCCUAAAAACAGAUUAUUACCUUUGCUGCAGCUAACAUAAAGGAGAUUAGUUCUUGUGCUGACUGAUGCAGGAUUCACAAAGACAGGCUUCGGCCGACUUUGUAAACUCGAUCUCAAAUCAAGUAAGACUACCCGCUGAACUUAAGCAUAUCAAAAGCGGAGGA